rfam:Bacillus sp. MTM 13 1, whole genome shotgun sequence.
AUACCCUUUUAACGAGCAGUCCAGAGAGGCUGACAAAGGGGAGAAACAGACAAUGCCGGAGGGGCCGGCAUGUCUGCAGGACCCUCUUUGCAUCAAAGAGGGCCUUUUUCAU